UACGUAGGGUGCGAGCGUUAAUCGGAAUUACUGGGCGUAAAGCGUGCGCAGGCGGUUCGCCAAGUCAGGUGUGAAAUCCCCGGGCUUAACCUGGGAAUUGCGCUUGAAACUAGCGGGCUUGAGUGUGGCAGAGGGGGGUGGAAUUCCACGUGUAGCAGUGAAAUGCGUAGAGAUGUGGAGGAGCACCGAUGGCGAAGGCAGCCCCCUGGGUCAACACUGACGCUCAUGCACGAAAGCGUGGGGAGCAAACAGG
rnacentral:rRNA from 1 species